rnacentral:rRNA from 1 species
GGGGAAUAUUGGACAAUGGGGGAAACCCUGAUCCAGCCAUGCCGCGUGUGUGAAGAAGGCCUUUUGGUUGUAAAGCACUUUAAGCAGUGAAGAAGACUCCAUGGUUAAUACCCAUGGACGAUGACAUUAGCUGCAGAAUAAGCACCGGCUAACUCUGUGCCAGCAGCCGCGGUAAUACAGAGGGUGCAAGCGUUAAUCGGAAUUACUGGGCGUAAAGGGAGCGUAGGUGGCUCUAUAAGUCAGAUGUGAAAUCCCCGGGCUUAACCUGGGAACUGCAUCUGAAACUGUAGAGCUAGAGUAUGUGAGAGGAAGGUAGAAUUCCAGGUGUAGCGGUGAAAUGCGUAGAGAUCUGGAGGAAUACCGAUGGCGAAGGCAGCCUUCUGGCAUAAUACUGACACUGAGGCUCGAAAGCGUGGGUAGCAAACAGGAUUAGAUACCCUGGUAGUCCACGCCGUAAACGAUGUCUACUAGUCGUUGGGUCCCUUGAGGACUUAGUGACGCAGCUAACGCAAUAAGUAGACCGCCUGGGGAGUACGGCCGCAAGGUUAAAACUCAAAUGAAUUGACGGGGGCCCGCACAAGCGGUGGAGCAUGUGGUUUAAUUCGAUGCAACGCGAAGAACCUUACCUGGUCUUGACAUAUCUAGAAUCCUGCAGAGAUGCGGGAGUGCCUUCGGGAAUUAGAAUACAGGUGCUGCAUGGCUGUCGUCAGCUCGUGUCGUGAGAUGUUGGGUUAAGUC